GAUGAACGCUAGCGGCAGGCUUAAUACAUGCAAGUCGAGGGACAGCACAGGUAGCAAUACUGGGUGGUAACCGGCAAACGGGUGCGGAACACGUACACAACCUUCCUUUAAGUGGGGGAUAGCCCAGAGAAAUUUGGAUUAAUACCCCGUAAUAUAGUUGAAUGGCAUCAUUUGAUUAUUAUAGCUACGGCGCUUAAUGAUGGGCGUGCGGCUGAUUAGAUAGUUGGCGGGGUAACGGCCCACCAAGUCUACGAUCAGUAGCUGAUGUGAGAGCAUGAUCAGCAACACGGGAACUGAGACACGGGCCCGACUCCUACGGGAGGCAGCAGUAAGGAAUAUUGGUCAAUGGACGCAAGUCUGAACCAGCCAUGCCGCGUGAAGGAUUAAGGUCCUCUGGAUUGUAAACUUCUUUUAUUUGGGACGAAAAAGGGCCUUUCUAGGUCAACUGACGGUACCAGAUGAAUAAGCACCGGCUAACUCCGUGCCAGCAGCCGCGGUAAUAC
rnacentral:rRNA from 1 species